rnacentral:lncRNA from 1 species
CCCCCUGAGAAAUGUUCCCCCACCUAAGUCUUAAGGGAGUCAACUUCCUAAAAGUUCUAAGUGCAGGCAACCCAACCUGAGUCCCCCAGGCCAGGGCCCUCCUGAGCCACACCUUGCUGCAUGAUCUCCACAAUCUGUACCACCUUGUCCAUGUGCUUCCGAGCAGCAAUCAGCCCUUGCAGCAUGAGCAUCUUGUAGUAGUUGAACAUAUCACCGUUCAGGCCACCCAUUACCUGGAAGCAAGGAGAGUGUCUGUGUGCACAGAGGAAUUCUGGUGGGUCUUUUCUGUAGGCCUCAGAGCUUCCUCUCUUAAGGUAAUCAUGGUAAAUUUCCUUAUCACUAUCUCCACAUUUUCUUUCAUAAGCUCCCAGGCAAUCCUGCCUCGUCUUGACUUAUUGCCAUUUCUGUUCUGUUCCUAAUUUGGGGGAGUCCAUCAGCUCCUCUCAGAGGAAGAACACAGUUACCCUUGGAAGCACCUCUCUUUUUUGACUCACAUCCACAAAUUCUGUGGUCAGCUUAAAGGCUGAUGUCUCGAAGCCCAGGUUUCGGGGUGAGCUGGAAAGGAUGAAGCCAAAGUCGAUGUGGAUGAUGUGACCUUCUGCGUCCAGAAGGAUGUUCCCGUUGUGCCUGAGGAAGAGGCAACAGAAGUAAUCGAGCAAGGAGAGCUGUGACUGUUUCUUCACCUGGUGGAUGGACACAGCGUUGACUACUGGUUCAAUCAUGCCACUGUCAGCUGAAAUCACAAGAAUCUUAUAUGGCUUGAUCCAAAGAGGCACUCGCUCCUGUUCCCAAAUGGACUGUGAAGAGACAC